GGAGCCGCGAGGUCUAUCUACAGAACAGAACGGCGAGAAAUCUGCUGGUGGAAACAGAUUAUUGAACUCAUUAGAGAGUAACAUUCUGCUGCUGAGCUGCACAAGUUACUAAACACCAAAUAGGCAAUGUUUUACAUUGUUGAAUUUUACGAGACCCAAGAGGUUGAGGUGGUGCCAGCAGCUUGGGUGGCUGAUGACGUUUGUCAGUGGCCCUCUUACUACAAACCUGAAGAACUGGUAAAGGCUGUAAAAAAUGCAGAGCAGCCGGGGUCAUCAUGGGAAGAAUUCAGAGUUCGGAUUUUAUAUAAAGCAGACCAAGCAUUCGCUUUCAAAGUGACAGUGACAGCGACUCGACUGUCGGGACCAUGCAAAAAUCAUCACUGCCAGCAGCCCCAAAAAUUCAACAGCCAGACCUCAAUAUAACACAAAGAAGGGCCCCUACACCCC